CCUACGGGGCGCAGCAGUGAGGAAUAUUGGUCAAUGGGCGGGAGCCUGAACCAGCCAAGUCGCGUGAAGGAAGAAGGUACUUAGUAUUGUAAACUUCUUUUGUCGGGGAACAAAGGCGGAGACGCGUCUCCGGAUGAGUGUACCCGAAGAAAAAGCAUCGGCUAACUCCGUGCCAGCAGCCGCGGUAAUACGGAGGAUGCGAGCGUUAUCCGGAUUUAUUGGGUUUAAAGGGUGCGUAGGUGGUUAAUUAAGUCAGCGGUGAAAGUUUGUGGCUCAACCAUAAAAUUGCCGUUGAAACUGGUUGACUUGAGUAUAUUUGAGGUAGGCGGAAUGCGUGGUGUAGCGGUGAAAUGCAUAGAUAUCACGCAGAACUCCGAUUGCGAAGGCAGCUUACUAAACUAUAACUGACACUGAAGCACGAAAGCGUGGGGAUCAAACAGGAUUAGAUACCCUGGUAGUC
rnacentral:rRNA from 1 species